rnacentral:rRNA from 1 species
CCUACGGGGGGCAGCAGUGGGGAAUAUUGCGCAAUGGGCGAAAGCCUGACGCAGCGACGCCGCGUGAGGGAUGAAGGUCUUCGGAUCGUAAACCUCUGUCAGCAGGGAAGAACGGUCACUGUGCUAAUCAGCAGUGAAUUGACGGUACCUGCAAAGGAAGCACCGGCUAACUCCGUGCCAGCAGCCGCGGUAAUACGGAGGGUGCGAGCGUUAAUCGGAAUUACUGGGCGUAAAGCGCGCGUAGGCGGUAUGUCAAGUCAAGGGUGAAAUCCCCGCGCUCAACGUGGGAACUGCCUUUGAAACUGGCAAACUGGAGUGUGUGAGAGGAUAGUGGAAUGCCAGGUGUAGGAGUGAAAUCCGUAGAUAUCUGGAGGAACAUCAGUGGCGAAGGCGACUAUCUGGAACAUAACUGACGCUGAGGAGCGAAAGCGUGGGUAGCAAACAGGAUUAGAUACCCGAGUAGUC